AAUUUUGUAAGUGCAGGAAUGUCGGGAUUGUGGUUGCUGAAUGGGGACAUUGAUAAGGGUCAUCGUGGUGCGAUAUGGUAUGAGCGCAAGCUUGAGCCUCUCGUCACUCGCACUCCUAAGGAAAACUGGAAGAUACACUCAGGAUGGCUUCAGCGGUUGAAAUGGGCCGGCCUUUUACCUUUCGCGCGUCUGGUUGAGUAUCCCGGGUGAGAAACGCGUCGCCAUCGAUGGGUCUUUGCUGAGCUGCUUAGUGGACCGUUGGAGGCCAGAGACCCACACGUUUCACUUCAGAUGGGGAGAGAUGGCUCCUACUCUGGAGGAUGUGUCACUUUUGCUCGGUCUACCGUUGGCAGGUCAUGCCGUAGGACCGUUGGACGCACCGGCUGGUUGGGAGCGAGCUCUCACAAAACGUUUUCACGGUGUUUUUCCGGAUGCUCCCGAUCCGGUAUGGGAGCAUCACGGACCUAAGUAUGAGUGGUUGCUAAAUUUCCGGAUCCAGAACUUCCGGGCGCCCUUGACUGC